rnacentral:rRNA from 1 species
UAAGGAAUAUUGGGCAAUGGACGCAAGUCUGACCCAGCCAUGCCGCGUGAAGGAUGAAUGUCCUAUGGAUUGUAAACUUCUUUUAUGCAGGAAAAAUAUCCUGGUCGUGAACCGGGAUUGAUGGUAAUGUACGAAUAAGCAUCGGCUAACUCCGUGCCAGCAGCCGCGGUAAUACGGAGGAUGCGAGCGUUAUCCGGAUUCAUUGGGUUUAAAGGGUACGUAGGUGGCCCGGUAAGUCAGUGGUGAAAACCUGCCGCUUAACGGUAGGCGUGCCAUUGAUACUGUCGGGCUUGAGUGCAGUUGAGGCAGGCGGAAUGUGUAGUGUAGCGGUGAAAUGCAUAGAUAUUACACAGAACUCCGAUUGCGAAGGCAGCUUGCUAAAGUGCAACUGACGCUGAUGUACGAAAGCGUGGGGAUCGAACA